rnacentral:rRNA from 1 species
CCUACGGGAGGCAGCAGUGAGGAAUAUUGGUCAAUGGACGAAAGUCUGAACCAGCCAAGUAGCGUGAAGGAUGACUGCCCUAUGGGUUGUAAACUUCUUUUAUACAGGAAUAAAACGACGCACGUGUGCCUUUUUGCAUGUACUUUAUGAAUAAGGAUCGGCUAACUCCGUGCCAGCAGCCGCGGUAAUACGGAGGAUCCGAGCGUUAUCCGGAUUUAUUGGGUUUAAAGGGAGCGUAGAUGGGUUGUUAAGUCAGUUGUGAAAGGUUGCGGCUCAACCGUAAAAUUGCAGUGGAUACUGGCAGUCAUGAGUACAGGUGAGGCAGGCGGAAUUCGUGGUGUAGCGGUGAAAUGCUUAGAUAUCACGAAGAACCCCGAUUGCGAAGGCAGCUUACUAAACUGUGACUGACAUUGAUGCUCGAAAGUGUGGGUAUCAAACAGGAUUAGAUACCCCGGUAGUC